rnacentral:misc_RNA from 1 species
AAUAACAUUCAGCCAGAAGGAUCCUGGAGGCAAGCUUGUCAUAGGAUUUCGCAAGGCGAGAAACAACUCAGAUAUGCAGGAAGCCCAAACAACUGCACUUCCUAUUGGUACUGCUUCAACAGAAACUUCUUUUUCUGCUGUCGGGGAUAUUGGCUGGAACAAGGGUGGGAGUCAUGGUGGCACAAUAAAUGGGGAUGCACAAUCCCUAGCAAUGGCUGAGAAGAAGAGGACUCGGAAUAUUGGACCUAAGAGUAAGAGACUACUCAUGCAUAGUGAAGAUGCUUUGGAGCUGCGACUUACAUGGGAGGAAGCACAGGACUUGCUUCGUCCACCCCCAAAUGUCAAGCCAAGCAUUGUCACAAUUGAGGACCAUGAAUUGGAAGAAUAUGAUGAGCCUCCAGUUUUUGGCAAGAGAACCAUAUUCACUGAUCGAUCGUCUUGGGGACAGGAACAAUGGGCUCAAUGUGAUGAUUGCUCUAAAUGGCGAAAGUUGCCAGAGGAUGCUCUUCUUCCUCCAAAGUGGACCUGUUCAGAUAACGUUUGUGAUUCAAGCAGGUGUUCAUGUUCUGCACCAGAGGAGAUGAGUCCAAAGGAUUUGGAUAAUCUUCUUAGAGUGAGCAAAGAUUUCAAGAAGCGAAGGAUCCUAGAGAGACAUAAGCCAUCCCCUGACCGUGAGCUUUCUGGCUUAGAUGCUUUGGCUAGUGCAGCAGUUUUAGGAGACAAUAUAGGCGACUCAGAUGAGCCGUUGGUUGGAGCCACAACAAAGCAUCCCCGGCAUCGCCCUGGCUGUACUUGCAUUGUUUGUAUUCAGCCACCUAGUGGCAAGGGCAAGCACAAACCCACAUGUACAUGCAAUGUGUGCAUGACAGUAAAGCGCC